CGUAGGUGGCAAGCGUUGUCCGGAAUUAUUGGGCGUAAAGCGCGCGCAGGUGGGAUAAUAAGUCUGAUGUUAAAGUUCGGGGCUCAACCCCCGUGAAGCAUUUGGAUACUGUUAUUCUUGAGUGCAGGAGAGGAAAGUGGAAUUCCUAGUGUAGCGGUGAAAUGCGUAGAUAUUAGGAGGAACACCAGUGGCGAAGGCGACUUUCUGGACUGUGUCUGACACUGAGGCGCGAAAGCCAGGGUAGUGAACGGGAUUAGAUACCCCGGUAAUCCUGGCCGUAAACGAUGGGUACUAGGUGUUGGGGGUAUCGACCCCUCCAGUGCCGGAGUUAACGCAAUAAGUACCCCGCCUGGGGAGUACGGCCGCAAGGUUG
rnacentral:rRNA from 1 species